rnacentral:rRNA from 1 species
CAUGCAGUCGAGCGGUAGCACAGAGAGCUUGCUCUCGGGUGACGAGCGGCGGACGGGUGAGUAAUGUCUGGGAAACUGCCUGAUGGAGGGGGAUAACUACUGGAAACGGUAGCUAAUACCGCAUAAUGUCGCAAGACCAAAGAGGGGGACCUUCGGGCCUCUUGCCAUCAGAUGUGCCCAGAUGGGAUUAGCUAGUAGGUGGGGUAACGGCUCACCUAGGCGACGAUCCCUAGCUGGUCUGAGAGGAUGACCAGCCACACUGGAACUGAGACACGGUCCAGACUCCUACGGGAGGCAGCAGUGGGGAAUAUUGCACAAUGGGCGCAAGCCUGAUGCAGCCAUGCCGCGUGUAUGAAGAAGGCCUUCGGGUUGUAAAGUACUUUCAGCGGGGAGGAAGGCGAUAAGGUUAAUAACCUUGUCGAUUGACGUUACCCGCAGAAGAAGCACCGGCUAACUCCGUGCCAGCAGCCGCGGUAAUACGGAGGGUGCAAGCGUUAAUCGGAAUUACUGGGCGUAAAGCGCACGCAGGCGGUCUGUCAAGUCGGAUGUGAAAUCCCCGGGCUCAACCUGGGAACUGCAUUCGAAACUGGCAGGCUAGAGUCUUGUAGAGGGGGGUAGAAUUCCAGGUGUAGCGGUGAAAUGCGUAGAGAUCUGGAGGAAUACCGGUGGCGAAGGCGGCCCCCUGGACAAAGACUGACGCUCAGGUGCGAAAGCGUGGGGAGCAAACAGGAUUAGAUACCCUGGUAGUCCACGCCGUAAACGAUGUCGACUUGGAGGUUGUGCCCUUGAGGCGUGGCUUCCGGAGCUAACGCGUUAAGUCGACCGCCUGGGGAGUACGGCCGCAAGGUUAAAACUCAAAUGAAUUGACGGGGGCCCGCACAAGCGGUGGAGCAUGUGGUUUAAUUCGAUGCAACGCGAAGAACCUUACCUACUCUUGACAUCCAGAGAACUUUCCAGAGAUGGAUUGGUGCCUUCGGGAACUCUGAGACAGGUGCUGCAUGGCUGUCGUCAGCUCGUGUUGUGAAAUGUUGGGUUAAGUCCCGCAACGAGCGCAACCCUUAUCCUUUGUUGCCAGCGGUUAGGCCGGGAACUCAAAGGAGACUGCCAGUGAUAAACUGGAGGAAGGUGGGGAUGACGUCAAGUCAUCAUGGCCCUUACGAGUAGGGCUACACACGUGCUACAAUGGCGCAUACAAAGAGAAGCGACCUCGCGAGAGCAAGCGGACCUCAUAAAGUGCGUCGUAGUCCGGAUUGGAGUCUGCAACUCGACUCCAUGAAGUCGGAAUCGCUAGUAAUCGUAGAUCAGAAUGCUACGGUGAAUACGUUCCCGGGCCUUGUACACACCGCCCGUCACACCAUGGGAGUGGGUUGCAAAAGAAGUAGGUAGCUUAACCUUCGGGAGGGCGC